CGACCGGGUCGGUCCGUCGCCAUUUUGUUGGUUGGUUUUUUUUUAAACCCUUUCGCUUCCCGCCCGAAUAAUAAUAAAAAGCCCCAUUGGAGUGAGGCGGGGGUGGCGGCGGCAAUCGCGGCGGGGGUAUCCGGGGAGACUGCUGCCGUCGCUGCUGCUGAUCGUGGCCCAGGUCGGGCUCAGGGAGCGGACACCCCGAGAGGGGGGUGCGGGCGCCGCCGCCGCCGCUUCUGCUGCUGCUGUUCCUGCUGCUGCUGUUGGUGCCGCUGCCGCCGCCGGCGAGCGGGCGGGACCGGUGUGAGUGCGAGUGUGUGUGCGAGGGAGCGUGUGCGAGAGCGAGUGUGCGCGCGGGUGUGCGGGUGUGUGCGAGUGUCUGUCUGUCUGUGCGGGGACUCGGGGGCGGGCGGUUCGGGCUCUCCUGGCGGAGGAGCCGCCGCCGCCGCCCGGGCCCCGGCGCUUCUCGCUGCGCAGGUUCGGAGCGCGCGCCAUUUUGUGAGAUUUACAAAAUCCUCUUCGGGAAGAAGCCGCCUGCAGCAGCCGCCGUUCGGCGCCCGGCCUCGUCGCCGCCGCCCUCCACGCCGGGCCGGGCCGCGCGGCCCCGCCGCCGGGACUCGGGGCCCGGGGACUGCGGUAUUUGCCGGGGAGGGGGCUGUCGCCUCCCCGGCCCCGGGCGCCGUUGGAACCGCGAGCCGAGGAGAGACUGAGCAGGCUGCGGCGCGGCCAGAAGCCGGAGCGCCGGGGGCGGAGAGAGGCGGCCGGGGCGGCGCUGGCUGCGGAGGCCGCGGCGGGAGCGGGAGCGCGGCGCGGGAGCCCGAGGCUGAGACUCACCGGAGGAAGCGGCGCGAGCGCCCCGCCAUCGUCCCGGUGAGUGUCCGGCCCGGCCGCGGCCCCGCCCGGCCCGGCGCGCGGCUCCUCCGGCGGCCCGCAGCCGGGUCCGCGCCGAGGCCGGCCGGGCGGAGGGAGGGACCUGCCAUUUUAGGAGGAGGCGCCGCGGGCCCGGGGCUGGCUGCCGAGGGAGGGAGCCCCAGGCCCGGUCCCGGAGGAGCGGCGGGCGAGAGCGGAGGGAAAGUUGCGGAGGGUGGGAGCGGGGGCCGCGGCCUCCGGGGAGCCGGGGCUUGGGGGGCCGCAGACAGCGCCAGACCUUCUCUGGCCGCCCCAGCGAAGGGGUGGAGGUUGUCUUCCUCCUCCUCCUCCUCUUCCUCCUCAUCCUCUUCCCCCAGCUCCUCCCUCGUCCCUCCUCUCGGUCCCCACCAGUGUGGGAACCGCCGGGGUGCUUCGCAAGGACAAUGCACGGGUUAA
rnacentral:lncRNA from 1 species